GCGACCCCAGGAUGGGCGAGGCCACCCGCUGAGUU
rnacentral:rRNA from 2 species